rnacentral:misc_RNA from 1 species
GAAAGUGAACUUGAUUGGAGAGCAC